rnacentral:rRNA from 1 species
UGAACGCUGGCGGCGUGCCUAAUACAUGCAAGUCGAACGAGGUAGCGAAUACCGAGUGGCGAACGGGUGAGUAACACGUAGGUAACCUGCCUUACAGUUUGGGAUACCCGAGGGAAACCUUGGCUAAUACCGAAUAAUUCUUUUGGAGGCAUCUCCAGAAGCUAAAAGGGCCUUUAAAGCCUCGCUGAAAGAUGGACCUGCGGCGCAUUAGCUAGUUGGUGAGAUAACAGCCCACCAAGGCGAGGAUGCGUAGCCGACCUAAGAGGGUGAACGGCCACACUGGAACUGAGACACGGUCCAGACUCCUACGGGAGGCAGCAGUAGGGAGUUUUCGGCAAUGGGGGAAACCCUGACCGAGCAACGCCGCGUGAAACGAUGAAGGUCUUCGGAUUGUAAAGUUCUGUUAUAAGGGAAGAAUGAUAACUUGAGGAAAUGCUAGUUAUUUGACGGUACCUUAUUAGAAAGCCACGGCUAACUACGUGCCAGCCGCCGC